GCAGACAGGAGGGUGUUAAAGUCCAAGAAAGAAGUCAGACUGCUAGAAGCCAUUUUACAGCUGGAAGGAGCAGGAGGACAACAGGACUGGAGAAGAUGAGUGGUUUAAAAGAUGAGGAAGAGGACAGACCUUCAGUCUCCAGCUGGCUGUCUCUGAUGAGUGACCGGUCUAAAGACUGGUUUCAAAAGUUCAGAAGUGAACCUGGAUCCUCAGACACAAAAGGGAAGAGGAGAAGUGCUGCCAGUCAGACCAGAACUGUACGAG